CUGCCGAAGCCGCCCCUCGGAACGGACGUUCCCUGAGGAGAAAAUGGGGGUGAAUAGGAUGGGACAGACGGGAUGAAGAGUCAGUACAACAGAGCAAUAAAAUAAAGCGGAGGAGAUAUGGAAAGAAGGGCGGUGUAAUGAGGCAAUAGAAUGGAGUGGAUAUUAAAAGAAGGGAAUUGCAGAAAGGGGGGAUAGAAUGGAGGAUAGAAAGAAGGUCAAUAUAAUUAAAAAGGGUAGAAUGGAGGGAGGAUAAAGAGAAAUGGAAUGUAAAAGGGACAAUAGAAUGGAGGGGACACGGAAGAGCAAUAGAACAAAGUAAUAAAACAGGAGAUCUAGAGGGGAAUUGCAACAAAAUAAAGGGGAUUGAAUAGGGGCAUAGAAAGAAAGGCAAAUGUCAUGGGUAAUAGAAUGAAGUAAUAAAAGAAAGGAGGCUGAAUAUAAGGGUACGUGAGGAAUAGAGGAGACAGAAGAAUGGGGUCAAUGGAGUAGACAAAUAAAAUAGAGGAUAUAUGAAAGGGGUAAUAUAAAGAUACAAUAGAAUGGGGCAAUAGAAAGUAGGAGCAAUAAAAAGAGGGGACAAAAACACGAGCAAUAGAAUGACAAUGGAAUGAAAGGUAAAUAAUAGGUAUAUGGAAAUAAGGAAGCAACCAAAUAACAUAGCAAUGGGGUGAUAAGAAAGGGUAAAGAGAAUAGGGAGAUAAUAUAUUGAAGGAGUAAUAGAAAUAAAGGGCUAAAGAAUAGAAAAGAAAUAAUGGAACAAACAGUGAAGUGAGGCAGUAAUAGGAUAGACCAAUAAUUGGGGAAAUAGUUGAAUGGAAGGGUAGAAAGAUUAAGGCACUAGAAAAAAGGGGGUAAUAGAAUGGCAUGCAAGAGAAUAGAAGAAAAAGUAAAAUGAGAGCAAUAAAAUAGGAUAGCACAUUUCAAAUCAUUUAGUAUAAUCAGAUCCAGAUUUUUUUAUUAGGAACAUUUAUGAUGGAUUAGUCAGGACACCAGGGUUGAAUUCUCUGAUGCUCAAUGAGGCAACAUUCACUUCUGUAUUGGACAGCAGCUGAGAAGUCUCUGACUUGAACUCUAAUUAGAAGACCCAACAGCAUGGCUGCCUGCAAACCACUCAAUUUACAGAUGAAGCAGGGAUGGAUAAUAAUUGCCAGCCAGAACUGAUAAUAAUACUGCCUGACCUGCUGAGUUCUUCCAGGAUUUAGUGUGUGUUGCUCUGGAUUUCCAGCAUCUGCAGAUUCUCUUGUGUUAAUGAAAUUUCCACUACUGCCUAUAUUCAGUUCUGCUUUCUUGCUAAAUAUGAACCAUACUGUUUGUGAAACCUAAUAUUACAGCAAAAAUGCUUUUGGUAUUAACAUGAAAUACUUCAACAUAACAUAAAUCUCUCCCUUUAAUCAAUUGCAGAAUUAUUUCAGCAUAAAUGGACUAACUACGUAAAGCAAUCUCUCAUCCUUUUCCAUACCCCUACAAAUUUUUUCCUUUGUUACUGAUUCAA